UACGUAGGGGGCUAGCGUUGUCCGGAAUCAUUGGGCGUAAAGAGCGUGUAGGCGGCUCGAUAAGUCCGCUGUGAAAGUCCAGGGCUCAACCCUGGGAUGCCGGUGGAUACUGUCGGGCUCGAGUCCGGAAGAGGCGAGUGGAAUUCCUGGUGUAGCGGUGGAAUGCGCAGAUAUCAGGAGGAACACCAACGGCGAAGGCAGCCCGCUGGGACGGUACUGACGCUAAGGCGCGAAAGCGUGGGGAGCGAACAGG
rnacentral:rRNA from 1 species